rnacentral:rRNA from 1 species
ACUCCUACGGGAGGCAGCAGUGGGGAAUCUUGCGCAAUGGGCGAAAGCCUGACGCAGCAACGCCGCGUGAGGGACGAAGGCUUUCUGAGUUGUAAACCUCUUUCGACAGGAACGAUUGUGACGGUACCUGUAGAAGAAGCACCGGCCAACUAUGUGCCAGCAGCCGCGGUGAUACAUAGGGUGCAAGCGUUAUUCGGAUUUAUUGGGCGUAAAGAGCUCGUAGGCGGUUCAAUAAGUGACGUGUUAAUCCCCCAGGCUUAACCUGGGGCCGCCACGUCAAACUGUUGUGACUNUGAGUUUGGUAGGGG